GGGGGAUUCCUCACCACUGAUCACUUAAAGAUGGGAGUUGAGGAAUAAUUGUCUCAAUGUGUGUGUAUAUGCAUGUUUGGGUGGUGGGUCAUUAUUUUAUUCAAAUGUAGUGCAGGAAUGCUUUGCUGCGAGAAAAUGUUUGCGUUAACUCAACAUCAGUCCCUAUGGCAAGUCUGUAACAGUGAUGUCUUGCACAUAAGCGAUUUUGAAUUAGCUGAUUUGCUUAAACUCCUCAGUCACUUUACCAAACAUAUGUCUGUAGAAGUGCUCGCAACGGAAGUGGCUCCAUCACACAGGAUUUGACGCAUUAAAUAGAAACUAUUUAACAGUAUUUAACACAACCCCACGUUUGUUGCUUCAGUGGUGUGUAAAUGCUCAUUCAUCGUUACGCCUUGACUAUUUGAUGGGACGUUUGAGAGAAGGGCAUUUCCCAUCGUAAGAAUGCUAGGGAUGUUGAGUGUUAGGUCAUACAGCCAUCCCACUAGCAUGCCAGUGUCCGGCUCGGUAUAGGGCUGUAGGAAGACACUUGAUUCCCAUAUACUCCGUUAUAACUAAGUUGAGUGGGCUUCUUUUGAUGUCGUCUUCUACUUCAAAAUGAGUAAGGUGGGAGCAACUGGUUUUUUCCCCCUUACAUGUACUUAGUGAUCUGAUUCUUGACCUUUUGUUUUAAACACCAUAUCAUGGGGGUUAUUCAUUAGACUUAGUAGUACUUUUACCACCAUUUUAUAUUUUUUCAAUUCAGAAACAUUUAGGUAUUCUACUGUAUUUUUCCAAUAGAGGACAAUAGGUGAUUUACCGGGGAAGAAAUGUACUCUUUGUGUUAACAUCUUGAGUAUAAAGCAUGUAUACAUCAAUCUAAUCAGGAAUUCUUAACUGUUUUUACAUUCUACAUAUGGCUGUUGCGUUUCGUGAACAACCCCCAUUUUGUUUUAAGGAAGUGGGAUUUCAUUUUGUGAAGUUGCCAUUUUCAUCAUCUACUGUGUGUUUCCUCCCAAUGUGCUACCUUCCUUCCCAUUCAUACAGACUUUCUAUUUGGUCGUCGCAUCACAGAGGGACCCCCGAUGUUAGUAAGGAAAACAAAACCGCAAACUUUUUCACAUCGAAGUGAAUCUCACCACAGCCUCUCACUGUGUGUGGACAACUGUCCCCCCCAACCUAUCACCUCUGCUUCAAAGACUGUAUACAAUCUGGAUAUUUUGACGAUCACUUGUUUUAUUUUUUCUUGUUUGUAUUUUUUAUUUUAUUUUUGGUUUGUAAAUCUAUUUAAAACCAAAAUAAAGAUCUUUCUUAGAGGUUUGAGCUGUUUCUUAUAGCAGGAGUGAAUGGAUAUAUUCUAAUAGAUAUUAUAAUAGACUGUUUAUGGGGUAAUAUAUUUUCAUUGAAUACGAUUCUUAGCUCGCAAUUAUUCAUUAAAUACAUUUGUUUUGUGUUCUCUUUAUAGAUACUGUGGGGAUGUAUUACCUGAGGUAAGACUGUUCUCCCUCGACUCACUUGUUCUUAUCCAGGGUGUUGAAUGUAAAUUAAGAGAAGUGAAAAUAAGUCGCUGUUAAAGUAACAAGGAAAGUUGAUGAUGAGAGCUGUACUCUACAGUCACCCUGACACCCAGUUGGGAUGGUGGAGACCUAAAGGAUUUCCUGAUGCUUUCCUUGACUUAAAGGGGCACAUACUGAGUAGUACUGUUAUAGCAUCUUUAUUUGUUCCUUUCUCCAUUUGUGUUCCUUUCUAGACCAUGGGAAUCUAUGACUCGGGGAUAACUCUGAGACACUUGGACGUAUCACUCAGGGAUAACUGAGGCUACCUCACCUGUUGGGCAUUGAGGAAGAAGACCUCAUCCUUGUCUGAUUGGAGAGAACAUGGGCCAACUGGUCCAUUUUAUAUCUUCAGAGCACACUCAGAAAGAGAGAGGGAGUCACAUGACUCACAAAAACACUUCUAGCUUUUUGAGGACUUGGAGACAGAUUGAAAUUUACUGGUGGGUUCAUUAAAAGAAAUGCACUCCCAACUUUUUAUUUUUUUAUUUUUUUACAUGACCCUCCCCUUGUACUGUAAAAUAAAUGCAACACCCUCCCCCCUCAGAGUUAACUAAAAAUGUUUAUGACCACAAAUAACUGUAGCGACCCUGUGUUUAUAAACAGGGAUAUCUAAUUCGCUACAGUAGCACAUUCGAUGCCAUGCAGGGCUACGGGCCUGAAGGUUGAGGGUUCGCCGACCACCACAGGGGAGCUCACUGUCGUCCACCAAACCUGCAUGUUUCAUUACUUCACUAUCAGUGCUGGUUGCCGACACUGAUCAGCAAGGGGGAAAUCAGAUUUUCAACAUUUUGAUGCCAUAUUUAUAAUUCUAUAAGCCUCUGGGACCAAUUCGUAAGCCCGAAGGAUAGCAGCUUUGUGUCCUAAUUUGAACUCUGGUCGAGAGAGAAAGCGGCGUACACUUUGAGCUUUUCCCACAAAAACACUUUGGAGGAGCAGUGACCAAAUAUACUACAUGGCCUUAAGUUUAAGCCUGGCUCGCUGUCGGCGUUCCAAUUCAUCCCAAAGGUGUUCGAUGGGGUUGAGCUCAGGGCUCUGUGCAGGCCAAGUUGUUCCACACUGAUCUCGACAAACCAUUUCUGUAUGGACCUCACUUUGUGCACGGG